GGCACCACCCCUUUUGUGGCUGCUCAACAACCCUAGAGGGCAGGAAUGGGGCCUGGUCACGUGGCCACUGAAGUGGAGCAAAGGGCACCGGCAUGGAGUGACAGCGGGCAGCGCCUGCCAGCCUCCCUCACAGGGCCAGGGCUCCUCCAGGGCAAGGGGCCCAGGCUACUCUUGGAAUGGAGGGGAGAGGAUGAGGAUUUUCCCCGAGGUCCCUGGCCUUGCCCUGAAGCCCCUCAGGGGCCUGGUGCACCAAAUGUCAACCUUGGGCCGGUUCUUGAUCCUAAGAAGGGAGAUUGGGGACGAGUGGCGCUGGCCUCUGGGCUGCCCACCCCUUGCAGGCCAGAGAGAGAACUGGGCUUAUAUAAGGGAGGCCUGAAGCAGUGGUGCAGUGACAGACAGGCACCAACAGGCGGGAGAGGCAUUGCCCCCACCCCUCCCCAGGACCUGCAGGGAGGCUGGGGUCUCUGGGCCUGCUGACCUCUGCAGUAAUCAAGGCCCCCAGGAGUCCCUUGGUGAGAUCCGGAGCUCCCAAGCCCAGCCCAAGCUCCUGCUUAACCCUGCAUUUUCUGGAAGCACAUCCCCACAGACUCCACGCCUGGAGAGGAGCCGGGGUUGUCCCUUUCCGUCUCUAACAACACCGGCUGUCAACAAUUUUGUAAAGUGAGUUCUGCUCUCCCACAGACUUGCACCAUGAACUUGGAAAUCUCUGACUCCACAUCACUGCCCAGAGUGCAGGCUCCCUCCUUUCCCUUCAAGAAUCCAGUCUCCAAAUCCAACAGCUGGGUUCGAAUCCCAAUUCCACCACCUAGUCCCUGGGUGAUCUCAGAUAAGGUUCUUCACCUCUCUGAACCUCAGUUUCUCAUCUAGAAAAUGGGAUGAUAGCAAAGACUACCUCAUAAGGUUGCGAAGAUGAAAUGAGUUAAUACGCGUAGACACUUAGGACAGCUCCUGGGACACAGCCAGCCUUUGGAGGUGUUUGCUUUUGUUAUUAUCAUGAUUUAUUACUACCUUGCCCAAGAAGCCACACCACAAUUACAUCCUCUGUGGGCUGGAGGUGUUGCUGCCCGGCAGCCUGGGGAUAUGCCUUGUAUUGGUAGAGUUCUGCACACUUUUCACAUCUAGCACUGGCCUUUGGCCCUUACAAACACAAUGGGUCCCCCUUUUACACAUGAGGAAGCUGAGGCUCAGAGAUGCCAUGUGGCUUGCCCAGGAUGAAGCUUCAAAGUCACACAUGCUGAGGCCAAACCUGGGACUUUCCCUCCCCGUCCAGUCUCCACCAAAACAGGGCCCACUAUCACAAGUCUGUCCAGUUGAAAUGUAUCAGGUUUAUUUAGAACCAGGAAUUCUCACCUUGCCCAGUGACUCUGCCUAGAACCUCUCCCCAGCUGAGUAGAAACUCCAUUUCUAUGACCACAGAUGAACCAUGACCACUAAUAACUGCAUCUGCCGAGGGCUCUUGUGUUUUCCAGAAAGGAGGGUUUGCUUCUUACUCAUCAAACUCAGGCUAGAGGCCCUCUUGCCAAGCUCCCUGGUAAAGUCUCCCCCCUCCUCUCAGGCACCUAGAACCUGCCCAUCUCCAUCAUUCCAGCUGGCAGGCUGUUGCUCCUGGAGAAAGAGGUCUCCACUCUCUUACAGGCAGCCACCUCAACCCUGUCGGGAAGUCCUUCUUGUCUUCACACCUCAGUCUCUCUUGCUGUAGCCAAUGCUCAUUCUCUCUGGAAACAUUCUUGGCAGGCUGUCUCUUCAGCGCGUUGGGAUGCUUUAGCAAUCCCUCGGCCUGCUCUCCUCUAAGCUGAAUCUUUCUUUCUUUCAUUUUUGAGACGGAGUCUCGCUCUGUCGCCCAGGCUGGAGUGCAGUGGCACAAUCUCAGCUCACUGCAAGCUCCGCCUCCCGGGUUCACGCCAUUCUCCUGCCUCAGCCUCCCGAGUAGCUGGGACUACAGGUGCCCGCCACCGCGCCCGGCUAAUUUUUUAUAUUUUUAGUAGAGAUGGAGUUUCACCGUGUUAGCCAGGAUGGUCUCGAUCUCCUGACCUUGUGAUCCGCCCGCCUCGGCCUCCCAAAGUGCUGGGAUUACAGGCGUGAGCCACCGCGCCCGGCCUAAGCUGAAUCCUUCAUUGAGGAAGUGUUCUCUCUUGUCUAACUUCAUUCCCUCCUGCUGUUACUUGACAUUACUUGCAAGCUUUGCGGAAGAAUAAGUCAGGCCAACCUCUUAUCUGUGUCACUGAGUUUCAGGAAGGGACUCUGCAGGGGCCCCUGGGGGAGUCAUGGGAAGCUCAGCAGGCCCCUGCCCUCCUCCUGCAUCCCUCAGCUCUCCCAGGAACACGGUGUCCAGGGAGGGGCCUGAGAAGUCCUGCCCUGGAGUCAGGGACCAGGUGGAGAGGCAGCCAGGUCAGGCAGCCGGAUAGAGCCGGAGGAGGGCCAGGGAGAACAGAUGGUACCUUCUGUCUCCUUCCCACCACUCCACACCACCCACGAUGGGAAGUGUUGGUUGGCUCAGAGGUCCUGGACCUCCGAGAGGCAAGGCACAGCAAGGGGUGACCUGGUUGGGCUCCAUGAAGAUCAGGCUCUGUGCCUCAUGCCUCCACCCCUUCCUCACAGCCCACACUAACAGCACAAUCUCCAGAAAGUCAGUUCUCAGCUCCCUUAGCCAGGCCCCUUCCUGUCUCCACACCUUUGCCCAGGCUAUUCCUUUAGCCUGGAAUGCCCUUCCCUUCCUUUUAGCUCUCAGCUUGCCUAGGUACCCUGUAAGGUCCAGUGACAAGUCACCUCCUCUGCAUGUCCAUAGCAACUGCCCCACAACGUGUCAUUCAACAAACAUUCAUGGUGCACCCACUACACCCCUAGCCUUGUGUGUACAACACUGCCCCUCACCAUAUCUCAUUUAAUUAGAAUAAGCCCCAUAUCCACAGGUCCAUGCAUAGAAAACAGCGCUGGAAAGGCACCACUACAUCUGACGAAACUGAACUGUGUUCGGUUAGGGGGUGGAGGGGAGUGGUUGGCAUUUUCUUCUAUCUACUAUUGUGCAUUUUGCAAGUGUCAAGUGAACCUGUUACACUUCCACAAUGAGGGAAAAAUAUCAGUGUUCUUUUAAAAUAAUGUUUGGAUUCCUAAUUUAAAUAAAACGAACUCUUUGGCAGCUCCCUGCUCCUAGCACUAUGCUGGACUCAGUUCACCCUGCCUGGGUGAAUAUUAUUUUUCCCUCAAGAUCACAGGCCUCUGAGGGCAGCUGCUGUGACUUCGCAUGGCUUUGAGCUCAGAAUACAUGUGGGCACGUGCUCCUCAGUCUACAGGGAAAUCACAACUAUAUCAUACUGCAAGUCCAAAAGAACCAGCCCAAGAUUUCUGCAAGGGUGCCACCAAAGUCAAUGAGGAUUAGCUAUUUACAUGCCCAGUGACAAGGGACACCCUUGUUUAUUCUUCACGUGACUGGCCUUUGGCUAAUUUCAUCCAGUUACUUAACUUGAGUUCUUGAGUGAACUCUGCUGAGCCUUUCCCUCUGUUCCUGCUGCAGUGCGCAAUAAACGUUUGGUCUUUGCCCCUCCAAAGCUCUUCGGGAAGGUACUGUGCCAUCCUUGUGUGUAUCUGAGUAUUUUCCAACAUCCAAAACAGUCUGUCUUGCAGCUUGGGUUAUAUAAUGUAUUUGAAAACUUACUUCUUGUUUCUGCUUCCCAAAAAGUUACCCCCAAAUAAAUACUGCCUAACAGUUACUGGA